rnacentral:rRNA from 1 species
CAUAGCGGAGGAAAAGAAACUAACAAGGAUUCCCCUAGUAACUGCGAGUGAAGCGGGAAAAGCUCCAAAUUUAAAAUCUGGCGGUCCUUGUGGCCGUCCGAGUUGUAAUCUGGAGAAGUGCUUUCCGCGCUGGACCGUGUACAAGUCUCUUGGAACAGAGCGUCGUAGAGGGUGAGAAUCCCGUCUUUGACACGGACUACCAGUGCUUUGUGAUGCGCUCUCAAAGAGUCGAGUUGUUUGGGAAUGCAGCUCAAAAUGGGUGGUAAAUUCCAUCUAAAGCUAAAUAUUGGCGAGAGACCGAUAGCGAACAAGUACCGUGAGGGAAAGAUGAAAAGAACUUUGGAAAGAGAGUUAAACAGUACGUGAAAUUGCUGAAAGGGAAACGCUUGAAGUCAGUCGCGUUGGCCGGGACUCAGCCUUGCUUCCGCUUGGUUUAUUUUCUGGUCGACGGGUCAGCAUCAGUUUUGAUCGUCGGACAAUGGCUGGGGGAAUGUGGCAUCUUCGGAUGUGUUAUAGCCCUCGGUCGCAUACGAUGGUUGGGACUGAGGAUCUCAGCACACCUUUAUGGUCGGGGUUCGCCCACGUUUGUGCUUAGGAUGCUGGCAUAAUGGCUUUAAACGACCCGUCUUGAAACACGGACCAAGGAGUCUAACAUGCAUGCGAGUGUUUGGGUGGAAAACCCGAGCGCGUAAUGAAAGUGAAAGUUGAGACCUCUGUCGUGGAGGGCAUCGACGCCCGGACCAGACCUUCUGUGACGGCCCUGCGGUAGAGCAUGUAUGUUGGGACCCGAAAGAUGGUGAACUAUGCCUGAAUAGGGUGAAGCCAGAGGAAACUCUGGUGGAGGCUCGUAGCGAUUCUGACGUGCAAAUCGAUCGUCAAAUUUGGGUAUAGGGGCGAAAGACUAAUCGAACCAUCUAGUAGCUGGUC